rnacentral:rRNA from 1 species
GGAAACAGAUGCUAAUACCGAAUAAAACUUAGUAUCGCAUGAUAUAAAGUUGAAAGGCGCUACGGCGUCACCUAGAGAUGGGUCCGCGGUGCAUUAGUUAGUUGGUGGGGUAAAGGCCUACCAAGACAAUGAUGCAUAGCCGAGUUGAGAGACUGAUCGGCCACAUUGGGACUGAGACACGGCCCAAACUCCUACGGGAGGCUGCAGUAGGGAAUCUUCCACAAUGGGCGAAAGCCUGAUGGAGCAACGCCGCGUGUGUGAUGAAGGCUUUAGGGUCGUAAAGCACUGUUGUAUGGGAAGAAAUGCUAGAAUAGGGAAUGAUUCUAGUUCGACGGUACCAUACCAGAAAGGGACGGCUAAAUACGUGCCAGCAGCCGCGGUAAUACGUAUGUCCCGAGCGUUAUCCGGAUUUAUUGGGCGUAAAGCGAGCGCAGACGGUUGAUUAAGUCUGAUGUGAAAGCCCGGAGCUCAACUCCGGAAUGGCAUUGGAAACUGGUUAACUUGAGUGUUGUAGAGGUAAGUGGAACUCCAUGUGUAGCGGUGGAAUGCGUAGAUAUAUGGAAGAACACCAGUGGCGAAGGCGGCUUACUGGACAACAACUGACGUUGAGGCUCGAAAGUGUGGGUAGCAAACAGGAUUAGAUACCCUGGUAGUCCACACCGUAAACGAUGAAUACUAGGUGUUAGGAGGUUUCCGCCUCUUAGUGCCGAAGCUAACGCAUUAAGUAUUCCGCCUGGGGAGUACGACCGCAAGGUUGAAACUCAAAGGAAUUGACGGGGACCCGCACAAGCGGUGGAGCAUGUGGUUUAAUUCGAAGCAACGCGAAGAACCUUACCAGGUCUUGACAUCCUUUGAAGCUUCUAGAGAUAGAAGUGUUCUCUUCGGAGACAAAGUGACAGGUGGUGCAUGGUCGUCGUCAGCUCGUGUCGUG